CCUACGGGCGGCAGCAGUGGGGAAUAUUGGGCAAUGGACGCAAGUCUGACCCAGCAACGCCGCGUGAAGGAAGAAGGCUUUCGGGUUGUAAACUUCUUUUAAGUGGGGAGAGCAGAAGACGGUGCCCCUUGAAUAAGCCACGUCUAACUACGUGCCAGCAGCCGCGGUAAUACGUAGGUGGCAAGCGUUGUCCGGAUUUACUGGGUGUAAAGGGCGUGCAGCCGGAGAGACAAGUCAGUUGUGAAAUCCACGGGCUCAACCCGUGAACUGCAUUUGAAACUGUUGCCCUUGAGUGUCGGCGGGGUAACCGGAAUUCAUGGUGUAGCGGUGAAAUGCGUAGAUAUCAGGAAGAACACCAGUGGCGAAGGUGGAUUACCGGACGAUAACUGACGGUGAGGCGCGAAAGCGUGGGGAGCAAACAGGAUUAGAUACCCCUGUAGUC
rnacentral:rRNA from 1 species